rnacentral:tRNA from 1 species
GGCUCGGUAGCUCAGCGGUAGAGCAGGGGACUCAUAAGCCCUUGGUCGGGUGUUCAAAUCACCCCCGAGUCACCA